rnacentral:rRNA from 1 species
GAUGAAUGCUGGCGGCGUGCCUAACACAUGCAAGUCGAGCGGUAACACUUCGGGUGACGAGCGGCGGACGGCUGAGUAACGCGUGGGAAUUUGCCCCAAAGUGAGGAAUAAGCACCGGAAACGGUGUCUAAUGCCGCAUAUGGUCUUCGGAUUAAAGUCUUCGGACGCUUUGGGAGAAGCCCGCGUUGGAUUAGGUUGUUGGUGAGGUAAUGGCUCACCAAGCCGACAAUCCAUAGCUGGUCUGAGAGGAUGAUCAGCCAGACUGGAACUGAGACACGGUCCAGACUCCUACGGGAGGCAGCAGUGAGGAAUCUUCCACAAUGGGCGAAAGCCUGAUGGAGCAACGCCGCGUGCAGGAUGAAGGCCUUCGGGUCGUAAACUGCUUUUAUGAGUGAAGAAUAUGACGGUAACUCAUGAAUAAGCACCGGCUAACUACGUGCCAGCAGCCGCGGUCAUACGUAGGGUGCAAGCAUUAUCCGGAGUGACUGGGCGUAAAGAGUUGCGUAGGCGGUUAGUUAAGUGAAUAGUGAAAUCUGGUGGCUCAACCAUACAGACUAUUAUUCAAACUGGCUAACUCGAGAGUAGUAGAGGUAACUGGAAUUUCUUGUGUAGGAGUGAAAUCCGUAGAUAUAAGAAGGAACACCAAUGGCGUAGGCAGGUUACUGGGCUAUCUCUGACGCUAAGGCACGAAAGCGUGGGGAGCGAACCGGAUUAGAUACCCGGGUAGUCCACGCCGUAAACGAUGGAUACUAGCUGUAGGAGGUAUCGACCCCUUCUGUAGCGAAGCUAACGCGUUAAGUAUCCCGCCUGUGGAGUACGGCCGCAAGGCUAAAACAUAAAGGAAUUGACGGGGACCCGCACAAGCGGUGGAUUAUGUUCUUUAAUUCGAUGAUAACCGAAGAACCUUACCAGGGCUUGACAUCCAGGGAAGGACUACGAAAGUAGUUUGUGCCUUUUGGAACCCUGUGACAGGUGAUGCAUGGCCGUCGUCAGCUCGUGUCGUGAGAUGUUAGGUUAAGUCCUUCAACGAGCGCAACCCUUAUUGUCAGUUGGAUUUUUCUGGCAAGACUGCCCCGGUAACGGGGAGGAAGGAGGGGAUGAUGUCAGGUCAGUAUUUCCCUUACGUCCUGGGCUAGAAACGUAAUACAAUGGCUAGUACGAAUGCGCAGCGAAAGCCGCGAGGUGAAAGCAAAUCGCAUCAAAGCUAGUCCCAGUUUCGGAUUGCAGGCUGAAACUCGCCUGCAUGAAGUCGGAAUCGCUAGUAAUCGCAGAUCAGCAAGCUGCGGUGAAUACGUUCCCGGGUCU